UACGGAGGAUGCGAGCGUUAUCCGGAUUUAUUGGGUUUAAAGGGUGUGUAGGCGGACGCUUAAGUCAGCGGUAAAAUUGCGGGGCUCAACCUCGUCGAGCCGUUGAAACUGGGUGCCUUGAGUGGGCGAGAAGUACGCGGAAUGCGUGGUGUAGCGGUGAAAUGCAUAGAUAUCACGCAGAACUCCGAUUGCGAAGGCAGCGUACCGGCGCCCAACUGACGCUGAAGCACGAAGGCGUGGGUAUCGAACAGG
rnacentral:rRNA from 1 species